AUGAAAUGUGGCAACUGUGGCGAGAUUUCAGAGAAGCGGCAGUAUACACAUCUGAUGGACAGUGUGGCACUGAAAGGAGGCCGAGGCAGUGCCUCCAUGGUCCAGAAGUGCAAGCUGUGUGCACGAGAAAACUCUACUGACAUUUUGAGCAGCACCAUCAAGUCUUACAAUGCUGAAGACAAUGAGAAGUUCAAGACGAUAGUGGAGUUUGAGUGGCGGGGCCUUGAACCAGUUGACUUCCAGCCCCAGGCUGGGUUUGCAGCUGAAGGUUUGGAGUCGGGGACCAUCUUCAGUGAGAUUAAUCUGCAAGACAAGGACUGGACAGAGUAUGAUGAAAAGGCGCAGGAGCCUGUGGGGAUUUUCGAGGUCACCCAUCAGUUUGUGAAGUGCUGAACUGUCUGCCUACAAACUUGCCUGUAAGAACUAAGAGACAAAGCACCCCAAGCAGCAGUUCCCAUGGAGGCUUCUCAUCUCUCUCUGCUUAGCACCUGUCCCAAGCCCUCAGUCUGCAUGCCAGGGUUUACCACGGUUCUAAGUCCCACCAAUAAAGCCCGUUGGUGCCACA